ensembl:lncRNA
UGUUGACAUAUAAAUCAACAAUACCACCUUACAGGCAACACAUCUGUUUGGCACUGUUUGUGAUGCAUGUUCCUGGCCUACAUUUUAUUAGUGCAUGUUAUUCUAAAAAGUUUCUCAAUAUCAUUAAUCUCAAUAAUAAGACAUUCCCCGUGCCCCUCCAUUGUCAAAUAGUGACAAUCUUCCAUGUUUUUACAGCAUGCCUUCAAGGAGGAAUUUCAGAUUGUGCCAUGCUGCCUGACCUCUUCUCUUGGGCCACUUGAAAAACGUGUCAGUCCCUUUGUAGGAACACCUGUGCCUGAUGUCCGACAAGAAUGCAAGCACCAAAAAAGAAAGCAAAAGAAAAGGCCUGCCAUCAAAGACCGUUUUCAUGGAUGGAUAAUUACAUUUGCCUUCAUUUUUUUGGCAAACGCUUUAUGUUUACCAUUCUCACCCAUCAAAAAAAACAAAAAAAACAAUCACAAGACCUGGUGAAUCUCACCCCCUCUCCCUUUAAGACGUCAAGGGGGAGAUCAAACCGAUCCAAGCUAAGGAAAACCCCUCCUUAAAUUCUUAUUUACCAAUCAGUCUCAGCUUUAAUAAAGCUCUAAGCUAUGCCAACAAACACAGACCAAGAAGAAGAAGGAACGGAAAGUGAGAAAGAGAGUGUGAGAGGUCAUGCCAAAACUGCUACGUGUUUGUUCUUCUCCCGCGAGGAAAUCUGGGAAAGCCGAAAAUAUCCCAGAGGCUCCCACUGUUAUUGUAAGGCUAGAGGUGGGUGAUGCUGAAACCCAGGAGGAGUGCUCAUGGAAUGGGAAUGGACGGGCUUUGUUUGGAUAAUUGUGUUUUUAGAUUACACGCUUUACUGAAAUACAGCCACUCCUGCUCUCCUACUCAUACCCUAGGCUUUGUUUUCCUUUCCUUCUUUCCUUCAAGAGGCCCUCACAGACAAAAAAAAAAAAACUACAUAAAAUAAAUAACCUCUGUGUAAAAUGUCCAAUAAUCCUCUUUCCACAUGUUUGAAAGGACCGGACCUGACAGUGAGGUAAUUCCAAUGAGGCUGGAGGUGAAGAAGGACAGGUUUGCAGGUGAUUUAGUGUGAAAACAGAUCAGGCCCCUGUAACAACAAAGUCAAAAUUAAAAAUAUAGGAACACUGAGCACUGCCAGGUGAUGUAAUGGGCGUCUAAUCUCAUAUGACCCAACACAUAUUUCCAGUGGAGGUGUAAUGGCCAUACAGUUCCAGGCUGUACAACAUGUUAUCCUCUCUCUGCAGAUUUUGGGAGUUAUAUUUGUAAGGAUGCAGUGAACUAACUUACUCAACUGACUUACUUGGUCAGGGAGGUUUCUAAACCAAAAGCCCUAGUAACUUCUGCAACAAUUUAAGCUCGACCUGAUUUAUUUAUUUAUAUUCUCACAGCCUGGGGGAAAAAGCAGUUCACGGCCAGGCAUGUUGUCAGGAACCGCAGUCUUGCGUGGGUUAAUCCUAGAUAGGGUCUUCCUUACAUCAGCUGGAGACAGACAGAGCGCCUGGUCGUUGGGAGGUAUGGGCAGUUUUUGUGCAGGUGUGUCAUUCUGCAUUUUAAACCGUGAAUAAAAGUGGUUGAGUGUAUCCGGGAGGGAUGUGUCAUCAUCACAGGCCUGUGGCGGGGGCUUGUAAUCAGUGAUGGUCUGAAUGGCUUGCCACAGGCUCUGUGUGUCUCUGCUGUCUAUGAAGUGAUUGUUUAUUUUUUGAGCAUAUGACCAUUUUGCAUUUUUGAUGCCACAGGACAGAUUGGCUCUUGCUGUUUUGAGGGCUGCUUUAUCUCCUGAUCUGAAUGCUUCAUCUCUGGUCUUUAGCAGCCCACAAACCUUUACUGACAUCCAUGGCUUCUGGUUUGCACGUCUGGUGAUGGUCUUGAUGACUGUCACAUCAUCAGUGCACUUUUUUUAUAUAAGCACUGACAGUUUCAGUGUUCUCCCCCAGGUCUGUGUGGCUGUUGUUAUGAGUUUUUGAACCGGUUUGGCGAGUUUCAGAAGUGGUCUGUAUGCUGGAAAUAGCAUAACAGAGAUGUGACCAGAGUACCCUAGGUUGGGGCGGGGUACAUCCUUGUGUACGCAGUCUUUUCUGUUAACUUGUAAACAAAGUUGAGUGUGUUUUUUUUCCCCUUGUUGCAAAGUUCACAUGUUAGUACAACUUUGGCAAAACUGUCUUUAAGUUUGCAUGGUUGAAGUCACUGGCUAUUAUGAAAAAGCCGUUGGGGUUAUUUGUUUGUUGUUUGCUGAUGGCGCUGUAUAGCUCGCGAAGCGUGUCCUUCGCAUUAGCACACUGGGGAAUGUAAACUGUGACAAUAACAAUGGCCAUGAACUACCGCGGCAGAUAGAAUGGUCGACACUUCACAAACAUAAACUCCACCAGCGAUGAACAGUGUUUUGUCAUUACCAAAGCAUUGUUACACCACUCUUUGUUGAUGUACACACAAAAGCCACCCCCACAAGCCUUAUCAGACAGUGCUGUAUCUCGGCCCGCUCGGUAGCAGGCAAGUCUGUGCAGCUGAAUAGCGGAGUCUAGGAUAUUGACGUUUAGCCAUGUUUCAGUGAAAACAAACACACAACAAUCCCUUGUCUCAUGCUGUGUAGAUCGGCUGAGUUGAACUAAAUCCAGAUUAUUUUCCAGAGAGCAAACGUUUGAGAGCAUGAGUGAUGGAAUCGCUGGUCUAGUGGGGUUAGCCCUUAGCCUAGCUCGUGUGCCUCCACGCGUACCACGCUUCUGUCCUCUCUCACACUGCCGGCGUCGCCUUUUUGUGCGGGUAGAGUCAGUAGGCGAGGCUGCGGUCUUGGGGUUUGGCUUCAGCAGCAGACAGAGGCCUCAUAGCUUCUCAGUGGUCACCGGCAAAGGCUGAUGUUUGUACACACUGCCGAUCAUAGUUGUGUUUCUGGGUGUUCAUCUGAUGAUUUUGUGAUAAGGUGCGACUGUUCGAAGACAAGGAAACAAGACUAACAGACAUAAAAACACUGUUUUUGGGACCCGGAGUAGCCGCUGUGUCCGACCGCGUUGCUAUCUUGGAUGUAACAUACAUUAUAUGUAUGUGUAUUUGAAUUGUUUUGACUAUUAUCUGUAGAUCCCACAUUUUCACAUGCCACAGUUGGUCGAUUAUGUACAAUGCCUGCACAUUAUUAGUCAAACUAUUUUUUUAGUUAUUUUCUUCAGUAAGUAUGUGAGAAAUGCUAUCUGUAUUACUACAACUACAUUUACUAUUUUGGUUCUUGGUAUUUAACUGCUCCUCAUUCAUUCUUCUGAUGACAUUACUUCACACUUCAGUGGAUUGUGUUUUUUUUAUGGAGACAACAUAUGGCACCAAGACUUUCUAAACAUUCAAACCCACAUGUAUGGGGGCAGGGUCCCGACAUGAUGAUAUAUAAUGAAG